GCGGAUAUGAUGAAAUUGGUAGACAUGUCAAGUUUAGGGCUUGAUUUAUUAUUAUUAGUGGUUCAAGUCCACUUAUCCGUA
rnacentral:tRNA from 1 species